UACGGAGGGUGCAAGCGUUGUCCGGAAUCAUUGGGCGUAAAGGGCGCGUAGGUGGCCACUUCAAGCGUGCGGUGAAAGUCGGGGGCUCAACCCCUGAUCGGCCGUGCGAACUGGGGGGCUGGAGCACUGUAGAGGCAGGCGGAAUUCCGGGUGUAGCGGUGGAAUGCGUAGAGAUCCGGAAGAACACCGGUGGCGAAGGCGGCCUGCUGGGCAGUUUGCUGACACUGAGGCGCGACAGCGUGGGGAGCAAACAGG
rnacentral:rRNA from 1 species